rnacentral:lncRNA from 1 species
GGCCCAUACUCAAAUGUAUUGCACACGUGCGUGCGGUGGUAUCCAAGCUAACAUCUCUGUUUUUGUCAGGUUUGUUAUGACAAUCCAACCAUGCUUCAUAAACAGUAGUGAAGGUUUGUUAUGACAAUCCAACAGGCUUCAUAAACAGUAGUGAAGGUUUGUUAUGACAAUCCAACCAGGCUUCAUGAACAGUAGUGAAGGUUUUUAUGACAAUCCAACAGGCUUCAUGCACAGUACUGAAGGUUUGUUAUGACAAUCCAACCAGGCUUCAUGCACAGUACUGAAGGUUUGUUAUGACAAUCCAACAGGCUUCAUGAACAGUAGUGAAGGUUUGUUAUGACAAUCCAACCAGGCUUCAUGCACAGUACUGAAGGUUUGUUAUGACAAUCCAACAGGCUUCAUGAACAGUAGUGAAGGUUUGUUAUGACAAUCCAACAGGCUUCAUAAACAGUAGUGAAGGUUUGUUAUGACAAUCCAACAGGCUUCAUGCACAGUACUGAAGGUUUGUUAUGACAAUCCAACCAGGCUUCAUGAACAGUACUGAAGGUUUGUUAUGACAAUCCAACCAGGCUUCAUGCACAGUACUGAAGGUUUGUUAUGACAAUCCAACAGGCUUCAUGAACAGUAGUG